GUGUAAGUGUGAAUUUAAUUCAGAGAAAAUAAUCCCUUUCUCUUUGUUAAGAAUAUAACACGAGCAAAGUACUUUGUUUUAUUAAUGUUUCUUAAUCAGUUUUGUUGGUAUUUGUUCGAAGAGGACGGAAGCACAUUUUUGCGAGAUGUUUUCAAUGCGUUUUAGAUAAAAUCCUCUUCUCUUAAAUACUUUGAGCAAAUAAGCAUUCUCCCUCAAUUUGUAUAUGAUAUACUUUUCUUCAUUCUUUUUAUUAUUUUGGCGGCAGUCGUUGCGGGUAAAAACUUUAUUGAGGAAUGAUCUGUAUUGUCAGUACACUGAUUUUCUUUAGUUAUAUCUUGAUAAUUUUGCAAAUCGUCACUUGGUCUUAUUUUGAUAUCGUCUGAUUUUAUUCCUUAUUUAUUUCUAGUCUGAGUGAUCUUAGUUUAAAGUUAACAUAUUUUUUACCCGUUGAGUAAAAGCCAGAAUUGGUAUCUUCAACGUAUACAUACAGAUACAGAUAUUGUCUACACACCAAGUUUAGUUAAUUGAUCUCUUGAGUAAAUGACACAUUUUUUUUUUUGGAUUUUUAUGUUAUGAAGUUUGU
rnacentral:lncRNA from 1 species